UGCCCAGCAACUCCUAUCCCUACCUCCUCCCAGUACUAACCGGGGUACGAGUAACCUUAGGGAAGAUCGGGUAAUAAACCCCCGGUGGGAGUUUUGGUCGUAUGCUGACAGGGAAUG
rnacentral:ribozyme from 1 species